ensembl:lncRNA
GAUUAGAUUAUUUGUAUGAACAAGGGCUGUAUUCCUGNNNNNNNNNNNNNNNNNNNNNNNNNNNNNNNGCUGUACACUCUGGGGGAUUCAUGCUCCCAGAGGCGUGGAUCUAUGGAAGCAAUCAAGCAAAUCUGACUUAACAUUGCUUAAGAAGGGAAAUUUGCUGUGCCUGUCUGUCACUUGGGUGUGUUACCCACUGUAGUCAUUUUGUUACUCGUCUUAACUUACAGGAGCAAAGUUUUCGAUACCAAAAUAAAGCUUUCAGAUCUGAUUUCACAGAAAUAGCAGUCAGAAGUUUUCACAGCUCCACCUCAUUUAAAAAAAAAAAACAAAAAAAAAAAACAAAACAAACAAACAAACAAAAAAACGUUAUUAAGGAAGCUGGAGAUGAAACAUUUAAAACAAAAACAAAAAACCAAGAACCAAAACACCAGGUUGCUUAAUUGCAUGGACUUCUCUCAUUGCACAUCUAAUACAGCAGAUUGCACUGAACAAGACUUUUUAAAUUAAGCAUAUGUCUGAACAGACAGAAAAAGAUAUGCUGGCUUCACUGUGUUUUCUUGCUAGUAGAAUAGUUAGUCCUCAGUUUCGAAUGGUCUGAUGAGAAAGACGCUCUUUGGGGCAGAUAUACUAUUUUAUGAGGAAAUAGUCCUUAUAAACAGUGGAGGAAAUUCAGCUACAAGCCAUGUUCUAUAUAAUUAAUGGUUUAACUAUACAUAGAAUAACUGUUCAAUUUUAUCGCAGAACCAUAAGGAAAAAAAAGAUUAACCCAUAUAUGUACGACUUCAUGGUAACUGGCAGCCUUAGAAUGAAUCACGGAAUUGUAGUCAUCGCUCCAUUAAAAGAAAUGAAAGUGAUCUCAACAAUUAAUGCAUUUAUCAUGAUUUCCCAGAUAUGGUUACAUAUGAACACAAUGACAGAAAGCAUUAUGGUUGUCCAUUAGCAAGGAAUUAAAUACAGCUAAGAGAAGUUAUAUUCACUUAAAAAUUGUACAUAUAAAAUAUAUUCAUAUUUGAAGAUUAUCCUUUUUUUGGAGGUUGGAUGACAGAACAACAUAGACUAAAAGAACACUGCAGUGGGAUGCUUGUGUUGUAUCAAAGUAACUUUUGAACUAUUAAUAAGGUGAACAAAUGCUUUUAUUUUUUUCCCAACAAUCCAUGUCAUGUAACUAUUAUUUUAAUAAGAUGUAUAAAUACUUCAAUAUGUUUCUGUUACAGAAAAUGUCUGUUACAAGCCCACUAUUUACGUUCCCAGUUGCCUUACUUAGUUAUAGAGUAAUUGAAAUCAUACACUUGAAAAGUAUUUUAAAGUAUUUUAAGCUGGAGAAACAUCAGAAGUUCUGGUGCACAAAAUCUUGAGUGUCCUUAAAUGAAACAAAAUGCAGUUUUACAAAUACUGCUAUUUUCUGCUGCUUUUAACAGCAUUUCUCAUACUAAAACAGUUUGAACUGAGAUUCACGUAUAGAAAGAAAUGGGUUUGGUCACUUUUCUUUCUUCAUCUUAUUGUUCCCAGCCAGAGACAUCCAGUUGUCUCCAAAGCACCCACAAGUUGUUCCCAUGGAAAUGCUGGUGCUGGCACUCACAGUACCAUUGCUGGUUGAAGCAAUGUCUAGGUCUAGGAACUUCCUUACAUCAAAAAACUUUUACAAUGAACUCUUCUUGAAUACAUAAUGUACUAUCAUCUACUUAUCUAUAGAAAAAAUAUCUGAAUAGAAAUGGAAAUAAUAUUUGUUUAACCACCAUAUUGUUUUGUUAAAUAAUGUCCUGUGAUCCGCAUCAUUCAGUAAGGUGUGUAGAUGGCUGAUGUUUAACUUGCAGGCUCCCAGUGCUCCUCAGAACGCAUUAAAACAUUUUGUAUCUAUUCUAAGUACCCUUAGCAGACUGAACUUUGGUAGGAGUAAGAACAAUUUUAACAGAAAUUCAAUCUCAGCAGACAGAUAAAAUGCAGGAGAAUGUAAUGGCUGCUUGAUGCUACCUAAAGAUUAUCCCAGGACAACAACAUUUUUAAAUACCUGCAGAAUUUCCUUAGGACUACAUCAAAGGAAAUGCAUGGAGCCAUGAAGUUCUGUAGCAGUGAGGUCUAAAUUAAUGAGGCAACUUCAGCUGCACAGCAAUGAAAAAAAUCUUGCAAGGACUGUAUGUUUACAACUGUGAGAAAAGAUGGUGGUUCAGAACAAAUGCCUGAUUGUCUGAUUACACAAUGCAGCAAAGCAUACCUUGAUUGUUGAAAGCAGCAAGACACAUGAAUGUAAGAUGCAUGCAAUUUUAUAUGUUUAUCUAACCUCACUAUUUCCUAAUCUCGCAGAACUUGAAAUAAUGGCAGGUGACAGCUCUGUGUGUUCAAGCAAUAAGUUAUGUAAUAUAGCAACUAGUUAAUCCUCCGCAGUUGCAUAAUAACAAUUCCCAUGCUGCAUGUCUAGAUUGCAAACCCAUGUUGUGAAUCUGCAAAUGCAGGAACUUCACUGUUACAUCUUUCCAAAUUGCUUCCUCUCUCAAGUGUACAGGACUGCAGUGAGUCUCAUCAUGGUAUUAUUCUAAACAUCCUUAAUAGUUCAUAUUCUAAAUGACACUAAGAUACAGUGAGUCUCUUUAAAUGAAGAUCUCAGAAGAAUAGCUGCUGAAUAAAAGCUAUUAGUUGCUAUAAAAGUGGAACA